GCGACUGUAGUAUAUCGGUAGUACAUCAGCUUCCCAAGCUGAGGAGGCGGGUCCGACUCCCGUCAGUCGCU
rnacentral:tRNA from 1 species